UUUUCUAAACUUUCUGAUCUUCUUCAGCUCUGAACUCUUUAGAAGAACUGAAGGAUGAAAAACAAGAACUUUGUCUUUAAACUCAACUCUUUUUUCUGGAUUCAGGUUGGAGCGCUGCGGUUUGUCAGAGACCAGCUGUGCUGCUCUGGUCUCAGCUAUGAAGUCCAACACGUCCAACCUGACAGAACUGGACCUGAGCUACAACAACCUUCAGUCUUCAGAUGUUCAGCAGCUCCAGGAUCUGGUGGAGAGUCCAAACUCCAAACUGCAGACUCUGAGGUGGGGCUGGUGAGUCUGAUGUUCCUCCUGGAGGAGCAGAGAGGAGCAGCAGCAGCAGCUGGUCUGCAGAGAUGUUGUGACUGGACGGUGUUCCUGGAAGGUGGAGAGCAGAGUGAUGGAGGAAUCAGAGGAAGUGGAGAUGAGUGUCAGAGCUGCAGCAUGAACUGAUCUGAGAUCAGCUCCACUGUCUCUCUCAGAAUAAAGUGGACACUUAUUGUCCUGCAGCUCCCCCGGUGGACUGAUGGAGAACUGCACUUCCUCUUCUUUUUUUCUGUUUCUUUUUAAACUUGUUCUAUCCAACAACUAACCAAACAGUAUAUAUUAUUUUAUUUUAUUUAACAGAGGGAAGAGAGAGGGAACAAUGUGAAAUGGGUGGGGGGGAGGGCAGAAUUACAAGCCCCCCUCACAACCCACACCACAUCAGCCAGCCACAAAACUGUUCCCGGCUAGCAGCCACUGGCAGCCCAAAAGAAUCCGACCAAGGAACCCCCUGUCUCAAUGCUCAAGUGUGCCCCCCCUCCAGCUACCUGAGCCCCACAACUGAGAGACCGCCAGGCCCCGCAUACCCCAGCCUCCCAUACCUACCAUAGCCCACCGGAUCAGCCAGGACCCAGCUCAACCCAUCACCAUCCCAACCCUACUAGGUGACGUGACUAAUCAGCUGUAACCAGGGAGAGACUGAAGCCGACAGAUUAUGUGUGUGGGAAGCGAAUAUAUCUCUAAACUUAUUUCGUAGGACAUGAGAUUUCUGUAUUGAUUAUUGCUGAGAUUAUUUUUGGAUUUCCAGUUUAGGAUGAAAGUUUUCUUUGUGAUACAUAAAGCUGUGAGAACCAUGUA